CUGAAGGAGACAGACAGAGUCCAAAGUGAGCUGCAUUAUCACUGGUAGUAACCACAGUUCAACCAUGGAAUAUUGCAUCAGAGUAUUCAUACUAGUUGCUUAUUUCAGUGUGUGCUCUGCAAAGGGGGACUUCAUUACUCAACCUAAAGAUGAGACGGGUCUGGAGGGCAGCAUGGUGACACUCAGCUGCCAGUAUGAGACCACUGCAUUAGCAUCUCAACAGUAUCUUUUCUGGUACCAGCAGAAACCAAACGGAUUCCCAAAAUAUAUUCUACAGAAACCAGCUUUAGGACAAGACAAUGGCCCAGAUUUUAAGAGGAGAUUCAAUGCUACACUCAACACAGACACAAAAGCUGUUAAUCUGACGAUCCAGGAUCUGCAAGUCUCUGACUCUGCUGUGUACUACUGUGCUCUGCAGCCCACAAAUGACUACUCUUAUUUAGGUUCACCCAACAUGUUUUGGUAUCGACAGCAUCCAAAAUCAGCUCCUCAGCAUCUUAUGACCUUUGUCUUUGCCGGGCAGAAUCAGACAUCAGAUGUGGACCCUCGUUUGUUUGGGAGAAUGACUAAAGACAAACUCUAUCUGGAUCUCUCGUCUGCUGAACUUUCAGAUUCUGCGCUCUACUUUUGUGCCCUGAGGCCCACAGUGAAGACUAACUAG